rnacentral:rRNA from 1 species
ACUCCUACGGGAGGCAGCAGUAGGGAAUCUUCCGCAAUGGACGAAAGUCUGACGGAGCAACGCCGCGUGAACGAUGAAGGCCUUCGGGUCGUAAAGUUCUGUUGUUAGGGAAGAACAAGUACCAGAGUAACUGCUGGUACCUUGACGGUACCUAACCAGAAAGCCACGGCUAACUACGUGCCAGCAGCCGCGGUAAUACGUAGGUGGCAAGCGUUGUCCGGAAUUAUUGGGCGUAAAGCGCGCGCAGGCGGUUUCUUAAGUCUGAUGUGAAAGCCCACGGCUCAACCGUGGAGGGUCAUUGGAAACUGGGGAACUUGAGUGCAGAAGAGGAGAGUGGAAUUCCACGUGUAGCGGUGAAAUGCGUAGAGAUGUGGAGGAACACCAGUGGCGAAGGCGACUCUCUGGUCUGUAACUGACGCUGAGGCGCGAAAGCGUGGGGAGCGAACAGGAUUAGAUACCCUGGUAGUCCACGCCGUAAACGAUGAGUGCUAAGUGUUAGAGGGUUUCCGCCCUUUAGUGCUGCAGCAAACGCAUUAAGCACUCCGCCUGGGGAGUACGGUCGCAAGACUGAAACUCAAAGGAAUUGACGG